rnacentral:rRNA from 1 species
GGAGGUUAGUGCAAUGGCAUAAGCCAGCUUGACUGCGAGCGUGACGGCGCGAGCAGGUGCGAAAGCAGGUCAUAGUGAUCCGGUGGUUCUGAAUGGAAGGGCCAUCGCUCAACGGAUAAAAGGUACUCCGGGGAUAACAGGCUGAUACCGCCCAAGAGUUCAUAUCGACGGCGGUGUUUGGCACCUCGAUGUCGGCUCAUCACAUCCUGGGGCUGAAGUAGGUCCCAAGGGUAUGGCUGUUCGCCAUUUAAAGUGGUACGCGAGCUGGGUUUAGAACGUCGUGAGACAGUUCGGUCCCUAUCUGCCGUGGGCGCUGGAGAACUGAGGGGGGCUGCUCCUAGUACGAGAGGACCGGAGUGGACGCAUCACUGGUGUUCGGGUUGUCAUGCCAAUGGCACUGCCCGGUAGCUAAAUGCGGAAGAGAUAAGUGCUGAAAGCAUCUAAGCACGAAACUUGCCCCGAG